GAUGAACGCUGGCGGCGUGCCUAAUACAUGCAAGUCGAGCGAACGGACGAGAAGCUUGCUUCUCUGAUGUUAGCGGCGGACGGGUGAGUAACACGUGGAUAACCUACCUAUAAGACUGGGAUAACUUCGGGAAACCGGAGCUAAUACCGGAUAAUAUUUUGAACCGCAUGGUUCAAAAGUGAAAGACGGUCUUGCUGUCACUUAUAGAUGGAUCCGCGCUGCAUUAGCUAGUUGGUAAGGUAACGGCUUACCAAGGCAACGAUGCAUAGCCGACCUGAGAGGGGGACCGGCCACACGGGAACUGAGACACGGUCCAGACUCCUACGGGAGGCAGCAGUAGGGAAUCUUCCGCAAUGGGCGAAAGCCUGACGGAGCAACGCCGCGUGAGUGAUGAAGGUCUUCGGAUCGUAAAACUCUGUUAUUAGGGAAGAACAUAUGUGUAAGUAACUGUGCACAUCUUGACGGUACCUAAUCAGAAAACCACGGCUAACUACGU
rnacentral:rRNA from 1 species